GAUGAACGCUGGCGGCGUGCCUAAUACAUGCAAGUCGAGCGAACGGACGAGAAGCUUGCUUCUCUGAUGUUAGCGGCGGACGGGUGAGUAACACGUGGAUAACCUACCUAUAAGACUGGGAUAACUUCGGGAAACCGGAGCUAAUACCGGAUAAUCUUUUGAACCGCAUGGUUCAACAGUGAAAGACGGUCUUGCUGUCACUUAUAGAUGGAUCCGCGCUGCAUUAGCUAGUUGGUAAGGUAACGGCUUACCAAGGCAACGAUGCAUAGCCGACCUGAGAGGGUGAUCGGCCACACUGGAACUGAGACACGGUCCAGACUCCUACGGGAGGCAGCAGUAGGGAACCUGCCGCAAUGGGCGAAAGCCUGACGGAGCAACGCCGCGUGAGUGAUGAAGGUCUUCGGAUCGUAAAACUCUGUUAUUAGGGAAGAACAUAUGUGUAAGUAACUGUGCACAUCUUGACGGUACCUAAUCAGAAAGCCACGGCUAACUACGUG
rnacentral:rRNA from 1 species